rnacentral:rRNA from 1 species
CACGUAGGGUGCGAGCGUUGUCCGGAAUUAUUGGGCGUAAAGAGCUCGUAGGCGGUGUGUCGCGUCGGCCGUGAAAACCUGCAGCUUAACUGUGGGCGUGCGGUCGAUACGGGCAUCACUGGAGUUCGGCAGGGGAGACUGGAAUUCCUGGUGUAGCGGUGAAAUGCGCAGAUAUCAGGAGGAACAUCGGUGGCGAAGGCGGCAUCCUGGACCGAUAUUGACGCUGAGGCGCGAAAGCCAGGGGAGCAAACGGG